rnacentral:rRNA from 1 species
CGGCGAGUGGCGAACGGGUGAGUAAUACAUCCGAACGUGUCCUGUAGUGGGGGAUAGCCCGGCGAAAGCCGGAUUAAUACCGCAUACGAUCUACGGAUGAAAGCGGGGGAUCGCAAGACCUCGCGCUAUAGGGGCGGCCGAUGGCGGAUUAGCUAGUUGGUGGGGUAAAGGCCCACCAAGGCGACGAUCCGUAGCUGGUCUGAGAGGACGACCAGCCACACUGGGACUGAGACACGGCCCAGACUCCUACGGGAGGCAGCAGUGGGGAAUUUUGGACAAUGGGCGCAAGCCUGAUCCAGCAAUGCCGCGUGUGUGAAGAAGGCCUUCGGGUUGUAAAGCACUUUUGUCCGGAAAGAAAUCCUCUGGGUUAAUACCCCGGGGGGAUGACGGUACCGGAAGAAUAAGCACCGGCUAACUACGUGCCAGCAGCCGCGGUAAUACGUAGGGUGCGAGCGUUAAUCGGAAUUACUGGGCGUAAAGCGUGCGCAGGCGGUGAUGUAAGACCGAUGUGAAAUCCCCGGGCUUAACCUGGGAACUGCAUUGGUGACUGCAUCGCUGGAGUAUGGCAGAGGGGGGUAGAAUUCACGUGUAGCAGUGAAAUGCGUAGAGAUGUGGAGGAAUACCGAUGGCGAAGGCAGCCC